rnacentral:snRNA from 14 species
AUGCUCACUUGGGCAGCACAUAUAUUAAACUGGAAGGAUAUAGACAAGGUGAGUGUGGCCCCUACACAGGAUGACAUACAAAUUCAUGAAGUGUUUCAUAUUUUU